CUCGCUUCUCGGCCUUUUGGCUAAGAUCAAGUGUAGUAUCAUGUGUAGUGUAGUAAAUUCAUUCCACCAUUU